AAGGGCACCACAAGAACGCGUGGAGCAUGUGGCUUAAUUUGACUCAACGCGGGAAAACUUACCGGGUCCGGACACACUGAGGAUUGACAGGCGACCAUUUGUAAAUAUGCUAGUCCUUUCAUGAUUGUGUGAUAGGUGGUGCAUGGCCGUUCUUAGUUCGUGGAGUGAUCUGUCUGCUUAAUUGCGUUUCAGAUAAAUGUGAGGUAUAGAGUGUAUGUUGUGUUGUUUGCUGCUGUUAACUCAGCUGGCAGCGACCGACUGAACUCUCCUCCAUUGAAAGCAACGAACGUGACCGCAACCCUUUGUUGACUCACUUUAAGAUGAGUUAAACUAAGGGGACCGCCAGGGUUUGUAAAACCGGAGGAAGGUUGCGGCAAUAACAGGUCUGUGAUGCCCUUAGAUGUUCCGGGCUGCACACGUGCUACAAUGAUUGUUGCAGAAAGUAUCUAUAUUUGAUUGUUCCUCAAAACUAUUCAUUUAGUUGGAUGGAACCACACAUGGUCUCUGGUCGAGGGCCCUCGGGUUCUCUUCCUCGAAACCUGUGUGCAACCUACCUCGAAAGUUCGGUAGGCAAUCAAUUCCAAGUGACAAUCUCCCUGUGUGCACAUAAACAGUGUCACUCUGUGUUGGUCUUCAUUGAUCACUCACAGUUGACGCGUGCUCUAUUAAUUCGUGGUCGGGACAGACCAUUGCUAAUUGUUGGUCUCGGUCUCAACUAGGAAUGCCUUGUACGGGUCUUUGGUUCAACAAACCACCCGGAAUACGUCCCUGCCCUUUGUACACACCGCCCGUCGCUCUUACCGAUGGACUUCUCUGUGAGUUUGAGGGACUGGUCUUCUCAUGUAUUUGAGUAAUACUAUGGAAACUUACACGAACAGUGUGGUCUAAAGGAAAGAGAAGUCGUAACAAGGCAUCGGUAGGUGAACCUGCAGAAGGAUCA
rnacentral:rRNA from 1 species